AUACGUAGGGGGCGAGCGUUGUCCGGAAUGAUUGGGCGUAAAGGGCGCGUAGGCGGCCCGGUAAGUCUGGAGUGAAAGUCCUGUUUUUAAGAUGGGAAUUGCUUUGGAUACUGUCGGGCUUGAGUGCAGGAGAGGUAAGUGGAAUUCCAAGUGUAGCGGUGAAAUGCGUAGAGAUUGGGAGGAACACCAGUGGCGAAGGCGACUUACUGGACUGUAACUGACGCUGAGGCGCGAAAGUGUGGGGAGCAAACAGGAUUAGAUACCCUGGUAGUCCACACUGCAAACGAUGAAUGCUAGGUGUAGGGGGUAUCGACCCCUUCUGUGCCGCAGUCAACACAAUAAGCAUUCCGCCUGGGGAGUACGGCCGCAAGGUUGAAACUCAAAUGAAUUGACGGGG
rnacentral:rRNA from 1 species